GGGGUAGAUAACUAGAAAAACAGCAGCAUGAAGUGUGCAUUGGAGUACUUAAUGGUGGCACCUGGGCAAAUUAUUCUAGGCAUGUCUGCACAGACCUCAAAUGAUGGAGAAAAACAGGACAAAGAAACCUGUGUGAAUUUUCAGCUUUUCACCUUCUCUGAUUUUAUUUCUUCCUCACUCUUCCUUUGACAGUCCUCGCAGGCCUCCUGAGAGAAUAGAGAAGACCCC
rnacentral:lncRNA from 1 species